rnacentral:rRNA from 1 species
CCUACGGGUGGCAGCAGUCGAGAAUCAUUCACAAUGGGGGAAACCCUGAUGGUGCGACGCCGCGUGGGGGAAUGAAGGUCUUCGGAUUGUAAACCCCUGUCAUGUGGGAGCAAAUUAAAAAGAUAGUACCACAAGAGGAAGAGACGGCUAACUCUGUGCCAGCAGCCGCGGUAAUACAGAGGUCUCAAGCGUUGUUCGGAAUCACUGGGCGUAAAGCGUGCGUAGGCUGUUACGUAAGUCGGGUGUGAAAGGCGCGGGCACAACCCGCGGACGGCACAUGAUACUGCGAGAUGAGAGUAAUGGAGUGGGAUCAGGAUUUCGCGGUGUAGCAGUGAAAUGCAUAGAUAGCGAGAGGAACACACGUGGCGAAGGCGGGUUCGUG